rnacentral:rRNA from 1 species
UACGUAGGGGGCAAGCGUUGUCCGGAAUCAUUGGGCGUAAAGAGCGCGUAGGCGGCCCUGUAAGUCCGCUGUGAAAGUCAAGGGCUCAACCCUUGGAUGCCGGUGGAUACUGCAGGGCUAGAGUCCGGAAGAGGCGAGUGGAAUUCCUGGUGUAGCGGUGAAAUGCGCAGAUAUCAGGAGGAACACCGAUGGCGAAGGCAGCUCGCUGGGACGGUACUGACGCUGAGGCGCGAAAGCGUGGGAGCAACAGG